CAUCUUCGAAUCCUCUUCACACCACGACCACCACCAUCACUUUCUCUGUAUCUCUUUCCCGCAUCAGACAUGCAACCACCAUCACAACCAAAGUAUCCUUCCCUGUCUCUUUCUUCCGAUAGCUAAUUUAUUGAUGAACUAAAAUAUGUAUCCGGAUCUUUCAAUCUUUAAUCCUUUUCUUCUUUAGAAUCGCCAUACUCACCGUAAUCACCACAAACAAAACAACAACAAUUUGGGUUUUGGUUUAGUGAAAUUUGGGUUUCGGUUUAGUGAUAUUGGGGUUGAUUUGAUUUGAAAAAUUGGGGGUUUGAUUUGAUUUGAAAAAUUAGGGUUUAAUUUGAUUCUGAAAUUAGGGUUUCCAUCUAGUGAAAUUGGGAGCUUAUUUGAUUCAGAAAUUGGGUUUCCAUAUAGCGAAAUUGGGGGUUUGAUUUAAUCGGUAAAUUUGGGUUUUUUUUUAUUCAGAAAUUCAAGUUUUGUUUGAUUCACUAGGGUGUUUGUUGUUAAGGAUUAUUCGAGUAAUCAGAUUCCCUGUUAGCUUUGUUCAAGAAGAAGAAGGGGAAGCCUAUAUCUAGAAAUUCAAUGCUUGCUUGCUUACUUCUCUGAUUGUCAAGAAAUGGGUUAGUAUUGUGAAUGGAAUUUGAGCACGAACAAGGAAGAAAGUUGAGCUGCUGCUGAAGAUGGGAGCUAUUCCGAUAACUUUUAAAGAUCAAAGUGAAGAGAUGUGUGAGGCUGUCUAGUCUAGUUUUACAAUAAUGGGCUUGUUUAGAUUGAUUGUCUUGCAGAGAAGUAGAUUUGGAAAGCUUAAAGAUCGUACAUCUGCAUCUCCACCGUCAAAACCUCAUGCAUCAAGUGUUUCUGAAGACCAGUUUUACAUUUUCUCCGGUUCAUGUAUAUAAGAGAGAAGAAAAUGGAGAAUCAAAUUUUGAAUUCCCUUGUAUGCAAGCCCAAUACUUUCCACACCAAGGAAGCUGGUAGAAUCAUUGAUUCCAAUGCUAACUUUAAGAAGCUCAGUGUCAGUGAGUCCCAUGAAUUGAUCAUCUACGACUUUUAAAGGCAGUUUUGGUUUUGCCUUUUUUUCUCCAAUGAGUUAAAAACUCAGUCAAAGUUGAAAAUAAAACAAUUGAUGGCUUUGAGGGACAAUGAUUUCCUCUGUUUUUGCUCUAAUGGGAUUGACAUAUUGGGUAACUUCAGCUCAGGUAUACCACCACGAAGCUUUCAGAUUUUUGUAAAUAUCAAGAAAACUGAAAGGUACCAAAGCCUAAUAUUGGACAAAUGUUAGACCAAAGCCUAAUAUUGGUCUAAACCUGAGUAUCAAACUCCAAUUAUCCCAUUGAUAAAAGGGAGAACUGUAGUGAAAAGAUGGAGCAGUUAUUUGGCAAGAUGCUUCAACCAUUCUGGUGGGUACGACUAUAAAAGGAGCUAGACAAGAAGCUGAUGGAGCAUGAGGUAAUGGGAUGGUGUUUUAUUGAUCAAAUGUUUAAGUUUAAUAAAUUAUUAAAUGAGCACAGAGAAGCAUCUAAGUUUUGGUCCUACUACUGUCUCCUUGCUCUUUGGUAAGACUACUUUAAUUUUGUACAAACAAUGAUUGUGUUGAAGUGAUGCAACUUAGUUGGAGAUUGCGAAGUACAGGGAGAAUGAGAGAAUAAGACUAAUUUGUAUUAUCUUCAUUUCAUUUAUAUUAGAGCCAAUACUGAUCCAAAAUUCCAAAUCCAUUUUACAGGUAUGUUUCUAAGGCACUUUUGUGUUUAUUUUUGCCUAUUUGUAUAUAUGCAGUUAGAUUUUUAGGUUGCUCGUGAAUCAUUUUGUAGUUAGUUCUCUCAUUGUAAAAAAGAUCUCUGGUAUGUUGAUUAGUGGGAGUCAGAUUGUGCACUUAAGCACAAAUAAGCACAUCUUAGUCUAAAAAAUACGGGGAAUCUUAGUACGAGAUUAGUUUAUUUUGUAAGCUUAAUAUAGUUUUGUGCAUGUUGGAAUUUUCUGUACCUAGUUCUACUAUAUUUCUUGUUGCGGGAAAUUGUGCGUAUGAAUGUAUGCGAGUGUACUAUGUAAUCACGUAAAUGAUUAGCUGCUUGUCAGAAAUUUGUGUAUUAAAUGUGGACUUCCUAAACAGGCUCCAAGUCUUCAUUGAUGUCUUACCUACAUCGAGUAUUCUUGUUCUGCCCGGCAUGAGAUGUUAUAGACUCAGACAUCCGAGGAGAGGACUGUUAUGGCUAAAGCUCCAGAAAUCAACCCAUUGAGAGUAACCAACACAAAAGUGUGCGCAACCUGCUCACUCAGUCACUCUCCGACGUGCAAUCCUCAAUUUCAGAGAUGAUAGUUACAUUAUGGUCCACCAUUAGUCUCUUAUUACCAACUAAGACCAAUUUAUCAUCCACAUUCCCGCUGACUCAUAUCUUGGGUGUACAUCAAAGUCCUCCAAUUUUGCCGUGUGUUUCAGGUUAGAUGCAUACAUCUGGUGCAGCUUUUUAGCAUGGUGUACAACAGCCUUAGCUAUUGGAUGCUCACUGGUUGCUUGCCUAGAAUAAAAUUUCUCAACUUCAUUAUGUUAAUAAACAACACUGCCAAGCUACUUGGGGGAUAA